CAGGAUGUCUGCCAGCUCCUCUCCAGCCACCCAUUCUCAUAGCGGGUGAGCCAGACCACAUCUGCUAAUCCAGGAGCACAGCUCAGGACUAGUCUAUGCGGAUGGAAUCUCUCUCCAGCCUUUUCUCUAUGUCAGUUUUAUCUACCUGGCAAGAAAAAACAAAAACAACCCCAAAACAACCCCUCCCCACAAACACAACACAAAACAAGGGACUCGAAAAGUUGGAGAAAACCUUUUAAUGUGUUUCUGUAAAAUCCUUUCUUAGGAGGUUUAGUACAGGUACUACCCAUCAGCAACUUAGCCGGCCAGGUGAGUUGGUGCAGAAGGGCUUCGGCUGAAUUUAUACCAGAGCCAUCGGGAGUGACUUGGCCACCUCUCCCAAUUACCACAAGGAAGUCUUAAAAUUGAAUUUCAGUUUCAGCAGAUACUUCAGAUUUACCUGAGCAAUAUCAUAGACAAUGUACUCAUUAUAUAGUAGACAAGUGUCAUUCACACCAGAUGAAAUCCCAGUCCCAAGAGGAACCUCUGCACCAUCCAGAGUAAUACUAGCUGAAGGGUCAGGGGUAGUUUUGCCCAAACCUUUGACACUGUGCUUGCCCUUGGGUAACUUGCUGAUAUGUGAAGCGUGCUUCAGUUCAUACAUUUUCCAAGGGCAACUUCUCCCAACAGGAUUAAGCCUGUUGGGCCUCCCUGAGAUGUAUGGCAGUAGUUGGCACUCUUGGAGGCCAUGUCAGCGAAAUAGAUCCCUUUACCAAACAUGUAGCCCGUCAUGGGCACUUCAGGCGGGGCUAUCCAAAGACCCUGGGACAGGAUC
ensembl:lncRNA novel transcript